rnacentral:rRNA from 1 species
GGACCCACCUGAUCCCAUGCCGAACUCAGAAGUGAAACGCAAUAGCGCCGAUGGUAGUGUGGGGCUUCCCCAUGUGAGAGUAGGACAUCGCCAGGC